rnacentral:rRNA from 1 species
UACAGAGGGUGCGAGCGUUGUCCGGAAUCACUGGGCGUAAAGGGCGCGUAGGCGGCACUGUUAGUCAGGCGUGAAAUUCCUGGGCUCAACCUGGGACUGCGCUUGAUACGGCAGAGCUUGAGGAUGGAAGAGGGUCGCGGAAUUCCCAGUGUAGAGGUGAAAUUCGUAGAUAUUGGGAAGAACACCGGUGGCGAAGGCGGCGACCUGGUCCAUUACUGACGCUGAGGCGCGACAGCGUGGGGAGCAACAGG